rnacentral:rRNA from 1 species
CCUACGGGGUGCAGCAGUGGGGAAUAUUGCACAAUGGGGGAAACCCUGAUGCAGCGACACCGCGUGAGUGAAGACGUAUUUCGUUACGUAAAGCUCUAUCAGCAGGGAAGAAAAUGACGGUACCUGCCUAAGCAGCCCCGGCUCACUACGUGCCAGCCGCCGCGGUAAGACGUAGGGGGCAAGCGUUAUCCGGAUUUACUGGGUGUAAAGGGAGCGUAGACGGCAGCGCAAGUCUGAAGUGAAAUCCCAUGGCUUAACCAUGGAACUGCUUUGGAAAGUGUGCAGCUGGAGUGCAGGAGAGGUAAGCGGAAUUCCUAGUGUAGCGGUGAAAUGCGUAGAUAGUAGGAGGAACACCAGUGGCGAAGGCGGCUUACUGGACUGUAACUGACGUUGAGGCUCGAAAGCGUGGGGAGCAAACAGGAUUAGAUACCCUUGUAGUC